UGACCGCUGGCGGUAGGCCUACCACAUGCAAGUCGAACGGCAGCACAGUAAGAGCUUGCUCUUACGGGUGGCGAGUGGCGGACGGGUGAGGAAUACAUCGGAAUCUACUUUUUCGUGGGGGAUAACGUAGGGAAACUUACGCUAAUACCGCAUACGACCUACGGGUGAAAGCAGGGGAUCUUCGGACCUUGCGCGAUUGAAUGAGCCGAUGUCGGAUUAGCUAGUUGGCGGGGUAAAGGCCCACCAAGGCGACGAUCCGUAGCUGGUCUGAGAGGAUGAUCAGCCACACUGGAACUGAGACACGGUCCAGACUCCUACGGGAGGCAGCAGUGGGGAAUAUUGGACAAUGGGCGCAAGCCUGAUCCAGCCAUACCGCGUGGGUGAAGAAGGCCUUCGGGUUGUAAAGCCCUUUUGUUGGGAAAGAAAAGCAGCAGGUUAAUACCCCGCUGUUCUGACGGUACCCAAAGAAUAAGCACCGGCUAACUUCGUG
rnacentral:rRNA from 1 species